AGUUUUGGUGUUUGUCUAUUUCUGCAGGGGGUUAUCAGGAAAUAUGGAGGAAAGGCCCACACGUCGGGUUUACAUAGAGAUAUUAACGUGUGCGACAAUUUUCUAUCAUAUAGAAGACUCCAGAAGGCACGGGAACGAACGGGAGGCCGAGCGUGCCUAGGGGUUAAGGAAAACCAUGCGAUUAAGGUCGGUUUGAUCCGACGACCCAUGUUCAUUUGGAGAGGCUAUAUAAGCAGGCCCCUAAUCCCUGGAGGAGGCAUUCUCAUUCUCAAACCUUAAUUCAUUCAUUCAUCCAAGGAGGAGAGUCUCUGAUCAAGCCCUAGAGCCACCACAUCAACUAGAUCUCUAGUUUACAAUAGCUACAUAGGAUUAGAACUAGAAGGAGUCAGUCUUCGAUUGGUUUCCGAAUCUGUCAAGAGGAUUCUUGGUAAUUCCUCUACUGUUCUUUAUUUGUUCAUCAUUGCUCUAUUUCACUAUAUUGAUUAUGACUCUGCUCUACUUGUUUAUAUUUGCAAUUAUAACGUUCUUAGUUUAUCAUGGUUAUAUACUUGGCUUAGUUAGAUUGGAAUUAUAUACAUGUUUAGGAUCGUAUAGCAUUUAUCCAUCGGGUCCAUGGGUAAAUGAGAAGUAUUGUAUAGGCGUGGUGCCUAUACCAUAUUUAUCUGCGAUUGUACCCUAUAUACCGGAUCGCGGGGUAGUUCGCGGUGGUGACAGCUCCGUUGAUUCUUAUAUAGUCCCCCUCCCGUGUAUAGGGCAGGCAGAGCAACAUUAUUACAGGGGAGUGACUGCUAUGUUUCUCAUCUUCCUUGAUAAUAUCACUAUGCAUGGGCAUAAUCUUGUCUCGCAAUGAUUGCCAAGUAUAUAAUUGCACUAAUUAUGAUAUACUAGACUUUAUAGUUAAGAAUAACUUAGGAAAUAUUCUUGUAGUUCAUCCUAAUUCCAUGCUAAUGACUUGCUAGAAUAUCUGUUGAGGUGCUUAUCAUUAUCAUAUGUGGCUAGUUAUGCUGAUCAGAUUAGUUAUCUUUGUCACCAUUCAUACUUUAUCUAUAUUUUAUGUGAUAUUUAUCCCUGUAUGUAAGAGACAGAUGAAUACUCUCUAUUACACAUGCAAUGAUACUCAGUUCCAUUUUUCAUUCCAUAAUCAACAUUGGUGUGAGUAAUCCCUUCCCAGUGGUAAAAAUAUAAAUAACGAUACUAGGAAUACUUCUCGGUUAAAAUGCUACAUCGGUAUUAAUCUGUGCGCUUACACAUCCCUUUUAUUAUUUAUUCAGAAGAGCAAUUGCAUAUUUCAAUACCGCGUCUCUCAUGUCAUGCUGGGGAUGACAACUUGGCUUAAGUGGCAUGAGGGAUAGGUUUGGCAUUUUUGGCGCCGUUAUCAGAAAUAGAAAACUAAGUCUACUUUUGGUAAUGACGUUAAGAAUGCCCAACAUCGAGUGAUGCCUCGGUUACAUUGACUCCACAAAUCAAAAUUAGCAUCUCCAUGGCUUGCCAUGAGGGAAGCCAAGCACGUAGAGGGUGUGUUGAAGAGAAGUACAUCACUCCAAAUACAGAUGCCUUUGACCAAGCUAAAUUUAUAGUGUUACAACACACAACAGAGGUGGAACCUUAUAUCGAAGAGCAUAUGGAGAUGUUGAGGCAACGAAACCUGCAUCAGAGCAAGCUUGGUUAGCAAGAGCACAUAUGAGUCAGUUCAACAACUAGUUCAAAGAUUGACUUGCUAGUUCAACCUCUGGAUCAGAUGAAAGGCUUCAAAAACUAGCAAAAGGCCCUUUCUUCAUAGUCCCAAUCAAUCAAGGCUAUGACAUAAAUGGCUACACGUUUUACAUCAUUGAUCAAGACAAGAAGAGCGUGUACCAUACCAAUGCUAUUUGCGUAGAUGCAUUUGACAGCAACAUGCACAAGACAAUGUACUAUUGUCAAACUGAAGAGAUAUGGGAACUAUUGUAUCUUGGUUUCACGUGCCUAUUCUUCAGUGUUGAUGGGUUUAGGGAAGUCAGGGUGCCAUGAAAGAAAGGUAUGGUUUCACUAUAGUUGACCUCAACCAAGCUGGGUCCAAGGAUGAUCCAUUUGUUGUCUCAAGUCAGGUGUCCCAUGGCCUCUAUGUGCUUGACACUAGAAACAAGAAACGACAAGUGGUUCACCUUAGCAAAAAGCUGGUUAUCAGACUUAAAAAUCUACUGGACAAGGAAGAGUUCAAUGAACCCAAUGAAGUGCCACCUUAGGAUACUUCCAUCCUCCCUAUGCUUUUGGCGAGCGAGUUAACUCCAUACCGAGUGCCUCUCCCUGGCUUUGCUUGCACUAGAACAAGUUUGUUGAAUAAGUCAGGGACUCGCUAGUGAAAGAUUUGAAAUUUGCUAGGAUAUUGUCGCAAAGGUUUUCCUAUGAGUACACUGUACUUGUCUUGAGCAUGAAAUACAAGGAUAGUGUGUCUCCUUUGGCUACAAUUACGAAGGACUAGGCUAAAACUCAUGAUGAAUUUGUUUAGGUUUGACGUUCCAUUGAAUUUGGAGAGAGUGAUUGUUUUUUAUGAGGUAGGCCAUUGGGUCAUUUGGAUGCCUUUGGAUAGUGGGGAUUUGAGAUCCAUGGUUCUAAGCAUUUGUGGGAUUGUAAGAGGUGAACUGAAGGUUGGCUGAGCUGUUGCAUUUGGCAGAGGAUUGAGCUAGUUUUGGCUUGCUGUGCCUACCUCGCAAGAGGUGCUGGAGGGUGGCUGCAGAGGUGCAUGAUUUUAAUCUGUGGCUACAAGAGGGUGAGUUGUUGCAUGAUCUCCAUUGCCUAGGCUAAAGUUUGGGCCGCUUGCUGGCUUAGGUCAAUGUUGCUACUACUCUAUCUCUUUUCUUGAUGCAUCCUUUGUAAUUGGGCUUGCAGCUACUAGAGCUCUUGCUUAUGAGUUGAGCCUAGCACUUGCUAGAUCUCCAAAGCCGGAGGUUGAUCUUAGACUACUGGUUCCUCCUAGACUUGGCUCUCUUGUGUUGAAGCGUAUGUACUGCGGGUAUUGUGCCUGGGCCUUCCCCUUGGCAUGGAGUCCAUCGUAGCCCUUGCAUGAGCUUUGCUCUAUCAUGCUAUUGUGGGCCUUCUCUAGCCUGAUGAUGCUCCGGGCGAAGGUCGAGAUGACAGAUGUGUUACCGAUGGAUAGGAAAAGCUAGGGUUUCAUAAAUGCAUUCCCCAACCUCUUUUAAUUUUUACAGCAUUUGGUGCCCCAUUUUAUAGGGUGCUAUUCAUUCCCUAGAUCUAUUACAAAAAUGCCCUGUGAAAGUGGCCGAACAUUCCAAGAAUAUCCUAUUCUUAGCCUAUGAUUAUAGGGGCAUCUUAGUCGUUCCCCUGUGGGCCGCCUCUCCAUAAUGGGCCUAAGCUUUAGGAUCCCCUCGAUCCAUCUUUCAGUGCCACCGGUGACGGCUAACAUUUCCACGUGGCGCCAGCCCCCAUCUCAGCCUCCAAUCUCUGCCCAUGCCACUGGGACCUUUGCCAUCAGCCACUCCCCGGGCAUCCCCACUGGCAUCUCUCCGACCCCUGCCUGCAAGGUCGAAGGUCCAUCUUGUGCCAUCGGCUACGCGCCAAAGGAAAAUGUUGUCAUGACCUCUCUUGGCAAAUCGGAGCCCCCAUUCUUUCCAGGGCUCUAGCCUCCCUGUGCUGCCUCAUAGGGAUGGUUAAAACUGCUAAGCCCAGAGCUUCCAAAGGCUUUGUCAACUAGUUAGGCCUCCGCCGGUGGGGAAAUUCAUGUCUCGGUAGAGUGUUUGCAAGAUAGUGACACAAGCACUUUCCAUCUAAUGAAUGUUGAACAUCAACCAUACAUGGUAUUGUGUAGUCUACAAAUAAUUGUUGUAGUAGUACCCCAAAGAUUAAUUGAUUUGUGGGCUAUUAAGCAAUAACUAUCUUGAGGAGUUACCCUCCUUGUUCUUUGGUGUGGAGUAGACUAAUUAGCUGGUGGUUGUUGCUCAAAAUCAUGACCUGACAAGCUUGGUUCUGCCACAUGGGAACAUGCUUCGGCAUGGAGUUAAGCUCUCUAUAUAAGAGCAGAGAGAUGGCUCCUAGCAUCGGUAACAGCAUGGUCUUGGGAUGUCCACCAUCGACAUCUUGUGGGGAUAAAAGGAUGAGGAUCUAGUUCAAAUAAAGUGGAGUAGUUGUGUGUUUGUUGGUGGCUGCCAUUACGCUGUAAGUCGACAAGGAAAAGUGGAAAUAUAGAGGUUUUCAAUAUAUUUGGAAUGCAAGCUUGACACAUACUGCACCAGAAAUUUUCUUUUCCUCCAAAAAGCAUCCCUAACAAACUCAAAUGCUUUUCAUGUCAGAUUAGGUGCAUCAUAUAUCGGGUCGCACUAUGAAGUCUAAGUAUAAACACAAAUGUCUUGAUAUACCCUUGAUAAAAAAAUCUCCAAAUUAAACAUAGCCUACAAAUAGAGAAAUGACAAAUCCCAUUUUUUGGAGCCUAAAAGAGCCAAAGUUGCCUCACAUUUUCUUUUUCUUUAGUGGCAAUCCAAACUAGAGACAUUGGAGCCCUGUUUACAAUGUCUCAUGGGUGAUAAGCUGUCUGGUAGGACUGCUUCUUAAGCAGUCUAAGGGCACUCCUAAUGCAGAAACCACCAUAGUUUUUAUGGACAUUAAUUAUACUGCCACCUAAUCAUUUUGCUGACGUGUCAAUAUAGUUAUUGAAGAGAGAGAGAGAGAGAGCAAAAAUCAUAGAAAUUGGGUCUAAGUUGGAAACCAUAUCUACACAAGAACCAAGACAUGAUGGGAUGUGAUUGGUAGAGAAUGGAGAGAGAAUGCAUGUAAUUAGAUAAAAACUAUUCCAUAGAAACUAUCCAUUGGGACCAUGAUUUCUAUAUGUAGUGUUUAUAAAAUUUAAUAGGUAUAGAAACUAUAUGUAGUUUAUAGCAUUGGGACUGCGAACUAGGAAUAGUGGUGAUGAGGUACUUCUAAAGUUAUGAAUAUUACCUGUGCCCAUGCCUACUCUAGGAGUAUUUAUUUUGUCAUGACAAGGAAGAUCCAAUCAGUGAAUGGGUGCACCCUACUGGAUUUCUCUGUGAGGCGGGCCUCCACCUAUAUAAAUACGAGCAAUUUCUGACCACCUCCUUAAAUCAAUUUUGGGAGACAGGCAAUUCUUGGCCAUCUUCUCAAAUAAAAUGAUUGCUUCUCAUAUUAAAACUAGCAUGUCUCUUGAAAUCUUUUAAGUAGUAGUGCAAGUGAUACGACCAUACAAAAAUUUCUCUAUGAGUACAUUUAUGACCAUCAAAAAAAUAUGUUGUAGAGAAGGAAAAUGUUGUAUCCAGUAGUGGCAGCAGCCAUCUUGAACAUUUAAUAACCUCUUGCUUCAUUUGUUGCAGACUCCUCGAGGGAGAACAAAUGCAUAAUAUGAACUCAGAGACUACUUCCACUAUAUUCUCCUCCAACACUUCCUUUGCAAUGACGAUUAAACCUUUAUUUUCUGAUGUGAACCUUACGAUGGACAUACCUUGGCAUUAAUUUGGAGGAUUGAAGCUGUGUUAAAUCAAAAUCUAAUAUGUGCCUCAUUUCUUUAUUUAUUGGUAGAAGAUAUCAAAUCAUUAAGAUGUCUGGAUGUAUACACAUAUCUCUGUCAUGGAUACAUGUGUAUAUCAGCAUUAACAUGUGUCACUACAUGUAUAAACAUAUCUCUAUUAUGGAUGCAUAUAUCGACACUAAUUAAGAUGUGCCACUGCAUGUAUAUAAACAGGACUGAAUGAGGCAAUAUGCAUACUUUAACACAAGUUCAAGAAAUAUACCAAUACUGUUCUUCACUUACAUCUCAUAAUUAGCAAGACAAUGAGGACCGUUGGCACAUCUCUUUGCAUUGCUCUGGUGAUUAUGUCUUCAACACUCUCAUCCUGCUAUGAUUGUACGUUUAUAACAUCUCAUGGGCUUACAAUAAUUUUAUUCAUGCAUGGUUUUAAAAUCCAGCUGUGUUUCAUAUAUGCAUGCAGUUCCAGUCAUAGUUAUUCAUUUACCUGGAUGCACUUUUGCGCUUUGCCUCAACGAAUGCUCGAAGUUUGCCAGUAGGACUGGCCAAGUGUUACAGAGAUCCUACUGUGAGAAGAUGGGUGAUUGCUGCUGUGUGUUAGGUCACCAAUUAGCUGCUGCAGAGGAUGAUAAAGGAACUUUUGUUUGAACAGGAUUAAAAUUGAGACAGAUGAUGGAUGGGAUCCUUACAUAUGUAUCAAGGCAGGCAGUACCAUAUGCUCUUGCAUCAAACUUACAUGGCGAUGCCCUGUUUCCAUCUAACUGUAAUAAAAUAAUUGUGUGACUUUCCUAUACUAUUGUUCACCCGAUUCAUCCAUUAUUUUGGUUACAACUAAAUUAUUUCAGGCCAUACUGAGUUUUGUACUAUAACUGAACUUUUCAGGCCACCAAAUAGACGUGGUCAUUCCUCAGGUUUAGUCAAGUUAUGCAAAACCCGAGCGUGAAAUCCUUACUAUCAUGAAACCACCCAUGAAUCAAUCGGACUAUUGCACAUGAUGUUGCCUGACACCAGUGACCUUGUCGCAGUUUGCCUGAUAGAAGGGGCUAGAGAACUAAGUCUAUUUCUUUCCUCGAGAUAUUAUUUCUGGGAAGAUUUUAGAUUUUUUGGAUAUUUCUCCAUUUUCAUACAGCUAAAUGUAUUUUUUCUAGCGAUAUAUUCUUGAGCUCUAAAUAUUUUUUUAGAUUGUUGUAUCCCUAUCUAUCUUUAGAAUAAUUUAGAACUUUUAAAAGCUUACCCACAUUUGUGUGGUUCAGAAGCCUUAUCAAUGAUUUAUAUUUUUUUAACUACAAAAAAGGACAAAAUUGCCUUCAAAGCCACUCUAGAAUAGGGUAGGCAGGUAACUUGAAUGGUUGUUAGAGUUAAUGAGGAUAACCUUUCUGGUUUUUGAGUUCGAAGAGAAAAACAGUUCUUGAAGGAAAAUCGGACUAUUAUGAUACUUAAAGUAAGAUAUGUUUUAUAAAUUAUUUUGUUUAUGAUACAUCAUAAUGGUUUUGACAUUGACUGCAAAGUCGUAUACAUAUAGAUGUAAUAAAUUCAGGAUGCCAGCCGUGUUCAUGGGUUUGAUAAAACUGCAAACCAGACCAGAACCAGCUCAAAUGAGACCGGUGUGGUUAACCCGAGGCGGGUUGGGUUGGUUUCUCUCUUAAUCCGGACAAGUCAUGGACUAUAUAUGAUCGCGUUGUGGGUAUAACCAUGGAAACCAGCCAAACUGGUCCCCUGCUCCGUGUUUCACUCUAGAAACUAGCAUCCUCCAUGAUCCUAUCGGAAUCGAGUUCUUUGUCUUCCACACCAAAUCGUGCCUCCCUUCCUUUAGUCAUGGCAUUGCUUUAAUAUUUUCACAGCAGAUCCACUUUAUCCCGCUGGAAUCAAACAUGCCCACCCAGAAAUUCAGUCAAGGUUCAAGAUAAGUAUUGUGGAACAAGUUUUGUCGUCUCCUUGUUUUUUCAUUAGAUCGUUUGCGAUGUCAAGCUAGAGUCACUGGAGAAUAAAUUCUUCCUAUUUACUGUGUCUGUCUCAUAUGACUGCUAAAUUGCUAAUGAAGUAGUGACAUUUGACAUGAAUGCAUCUGUCCACUCCAUGAACACUGAUUUUGUCACGACAGCAAGAUUGAAUAAGUGAAUGGGUUCAGUGGCCAUCCUUAAAAUUUAAUCUCUUAUUUCAUUGGAUGCAUACACAGUUCUUAAGGGAGAACCGUAUGCAUCAUAUGUACUUAUUGACUACACCUUUGACUGCAUAUCCUUCCAUGAAAGCUUCCUUUGUAGUGACGAAUUAACCUUUCCUGAUGUGAGACAUAUAAUGCAGAUACAUCAAUAUUAAUAUGAAGGAUUCAAGUUGUCUAAGCCAAUUUAUUUAUUUAUUUAUUGCUAGAAUAUAUCAAAUCAUACAUGCAAGAUAGUUCAACAUUAAUAUAUGAGGACACAUAUACCUCUGCUGUGGAUACAUAUAUCAAUACUUGGAUGUUGUCUGUAGGUAUAUAUUUAUCUGUAUUGUGAAUACAAUCAACAUUAAGUUAUGCCUGCAUGUAUCCCCAUAUAUAUCUCUAUUUUUUUGGAUAGUGAUAUCUCUAUUUUGGAUACAUAUAUCAACCUUUGUGCCACUGCAUGUAUAUAAACACAAGUUAAACAAAUAUACCAAUACAGUUCUUCACUUUCCAGUCAUAAUUAGCAAGACAAUGAAGACUGAGUGCGCAGCUCUCUGCAUUGUCCUGGUGAUUAUCUCUUCAACAAUGUCAUCCUGCUAUUAUAGUAAGUAUAUAACUAUUUCUGUACCUACAAUAAUUCCACUCAUGUGUGGAUCAGGCAAGAUAGAUCAACAUUAAUAUAUCUUUUGUUGUGGAUACCUAUCUAUAUUAUGGAUACUUAUAUAAACAAUAAUAUGUGCCAUUGCAAGUAUACAUAUUUAUCUGUAUUCUUGAUACUUAUAUCAAUAUUAAGAUGUGCAUAUAUCCCUACUGUGGAUACAAAUCAUAUAUUUACCACUGCAUUUAUACAUAUAUCUCUGUUGUGGAUAGAUAUAGCAACCUUAAAAUGUGCCACUGCAUAUAUAUAAACCGGACCAAACAAUAUGCAUACCAGAACGCAAUGCAAGUUCAACAAAUAUACCACCAAUACUAAUUAAUCUUCCCCACUUGCCACUCGUACUCAACAAGACAAUGAGGACUGUGUGUGCUGCUCUGUGCAUUGUCCUGGUGAUUAUGUCUCCAGCCCUCUUAUCCUGCGCUUGUGGAUGGAGUAUGUAUAACUUGUUUUGUACUUAAAAUAAUUCCACUGGUGCAUUGUUUAUUAAGUAAAGUUGUGGAUGCAUGCAGUAAUUGAACCAAUCCGUCUACCUGGAUGCACCCCGGCGGUUUGCCAAACAAAAUGCUUGGAUUAUGCCAAAAAGAAUGACCUAGUGUUAGAGCUGUUCUACUGUGCGAAGGAGGAUGUUUGUAUGUGCUCGUUAGUUCACAAAAAGCGUCUGCACCUCACAACCGAAGUCAUGGGAUUAGCUGAUGAUGCAAAGGACGAUAAUGGAACUUUUGUUUGAAUAUAAUAUAUCGGAUUGAAUUUGAUACUAACGAUGGAUAGGGUGGUGACAUGGCUGAUACGGACCGAAGAACGCUGCAAGAUAUAUUACUCUUUCAUGAUUUAAAACAAAGAGGUUUACAAGCAAACCUCCAAAGGAUAACCAUCGUGCUUGCGUCAUGAAUAACCGGCUAGUUUUUAGGCAAGGUCAGCCGGCAAGCCUAGGGCGUCAGUGACAGCCCUGCCUCUUCUCUCACUACCACCUAGGCCUGCACUGUCAGCUGCCUUUCUUCUCCAAUCUCCAGUCUGAUACCAACCGAAGCCAGCACCGAAUCCCAUGUUCCCCGGGAUUGCUUGUGUAGGGUACAACCGACCCCCUAUAAAGCCUGUGAACCUCCCCCGCGACUUCCUUUUCACAUCAACGUUACCCCGAGGAGCCCUAGCCGCUGCAGUAGUCGGAUUUAGAUCUUGCCAGCUUUUCUUCCGCCCCGCCGAGCGCUGCGGCCACCCCGAGCUCUCUCUGCCAUUGUAGAGCUUCUAGGAGAGCUUGUUGUCUUCUCCUCAAUCUCCCCAUGUAUUUAUUUUGGGUUGAGGCGCUCUAGUUUGUCGUUUCGACGAGCUCCGGGGAGAGCUCGGCCUGGUCGGCCAUGGCGCUGCCGUCUGGGCUGCCGCCGGCCAUCUCCCAGCACUACAAGAGAAACCCCUCUUUUGCAAUGGAUAGGUGACAAUGCUUAGUUUAUUAGUUGCAAGGAGUAAGAUGACAAUGUUUAUUAAACCGUUGGAAGCUUAUCCGUGUUCUUGUGAGCAGCCCUUUGAGCUAUGCGGGACAUGUAGUGCUGUCAGGUUGACCCUGUAACCAGUCAAGUCAUUACCCAUUUAUAUUUUAUUUCCUCACUAAAUUUUACUUAUAGUAAGAACAAGGCCGGAUCCAAUCCAAAACUUAUAACCCCUCGCUCCUAUUAUCCUAUACACACCCUAAUCACGGCCGCCACCGCUUUGCAUGGUGGUACAACGUCCGCGCCCCAAAUCCCCUCCCUGUUCGUGCCGCAUCGCUCGAUCCUAUUCCGUGGCCAGCACCUGUUGUCUGCUUGCCGGCGUCUCAACUAACCUCCCCCACUAAUUCCUCCUCCUUCCUUUCGCAAAAAAAUCCUCCUCCUCCAUCAGAGCAACUCAGGGCCGUCAGGGCGGGGCAGCUACAGCGAGCUGCUCAGCGUGGGUUGGGGCAGCUGCAGCAGCACAUCGGCAGGCAACAGCAGUGCAGUAGUUCUUUGUAGCUCCGUGCACGUGCAGCUGGGUGACACCACACCAGCAGCAGCAGUGGACGCGGCCAUUGGCGAGACAGCGACUCCGAGUGCCGAGCAGCUGGUCAUUAGGUAUGCCUUGAAGUCUCCAACUGAUUAGGCCAAUCAACCUGCACCCUCUUUGUCGUUGAGAUAGCAAUUUGACUCUGAAUCAUGAGUUGCGAGUAACCCCACUCAAUUAAUUAAAUCAAAAUCAAGUGUCAUGCUUGCCCGCGCUGACUUGAUAUUGUGUCCUGCUAGCUCUUUAGUGUAGUAGCGAUGUUAAAAUUCAGUCAUAGCAUACCACAGUGUUGUAAUGCUCAAGUUGCUAUAUGGGAUUUUUAGCAUUGAAAGCAAUAGAAUACCUGGCUUGGAUGUAUCUGAACCACAUUAUGUAGUGAUAUUUUUUUAUUUAGUACAUCUGUGAUUUUCUAAACUAGUGCUCAAACUUAAAAGAACUGGAGCACUCUGCUAACUGAAAGUGAAAAUUGCUACACCAACUAGACUCAUUUUCUGUGAAAUAUGUAUGAUUUGCUAUACUCAUUUUCUACUCUAGCAGUUGUCCUCCCUACUAGAAGCUAGAAUCUUCUUUUCUUUUGGUUAACCUUUUACAAUUUGUUGGUUUAUAAUUUUCUGAUCUUUAUGAUUGCCUUAGGCAAAAUAGUUGUGAUAAUGUAACUUAAAGGAAUUAUAUGAUGAUAAAUAAAUAUGAACUUAUAGAUGCUAUUUAUUUAUACAACAAGAGCUUUUUAUGGUUUCAAAAUGGAUUUAAAAAUCAUCAAGCUUCUUUGUUAAAGAGCCCUUGAAUCAAAUCCCCAUCUUCCAAAACAAAAUCAACGCCCAGGAUUAGACCAUACCACUUCGGCCAGAGUAUUUGUUAAAGAGCCCCUGCUUUUUCUUUGAAUCAACCCGCAGUCCAAAGCAUGUUUCCAAAAUAUGUCUUCUCAGUAUGUCAUCCCAAUUUGAAUUCAAAAUACAUUUUCACUAUUUACAAAAAUGCCACUGAUUUUUGUUUGGUCACAAAAUGCUCAUUUUAACUCCAUUUUGAUCGGUUUAAAUUUUGUAAGAUUCAUAUUUGCGCAAUCUACUUGUUUGUGUCACUAUUUUACUAAUUUUACAACUUUUUGAUUUUGACGUCCUAUUUAAUUUAUUACUUUACUAAAGGAAAUCUUAGGAAAUUCAUAACUUCUCCGCUUUAGCUCUGAUUUUUGUGAUCUUUACGUCUGUGUGAUCAUAGCGAUGCGUAUAAUGAUUUUAUAAACUUUUGAACAUGUUUUUUCUGAUAUUGGUGUACUGUCCUAAUUGUAAUUCUUGUGUUGCUAUGCAUGACAAUCUCUGAUUGCUUGUGUGUUGAUGAUUGAAGAUUCGAGUAUAGACGAUGAGUAGUACGUUGGUAAGAAAGACCAGUAGUUUGACGACUAGCAGGAGUAGUAGAAAAACUUUGAUUAAGGCAAGUAUAGCUUGGGACCUCCUUGAUUACCUACUCAGUUUAUAUAAUGAAGUAAAUGUGCAUGUGUCUUUGAUACUUUGUUAAGGAUGACUUAGCAUUGAAUUAUUGUGUACCUUGUUUACCCUCGGAUAUCUGCAUGUGGGUAGUAUUUGCUAGUGCUGAUUUAUAUGACCAUGAUCUUGUAUCAUGAAUAUUGGAAUAUGCAAUAAACAUUGAAAGAUGAUUUUUAGCAACAUGAACAAAAGGCUAAGAAGAACUCUGGCCUUUGUUGGAUGUUCUUGACUCUUUAUAAGGACUUAUUCUUUGGCAAAAGCUAGGACAAAUCGUACAGUUGUGAGGGCUACAUGGCUCUAGCUCUUGUUACUCAAGGAACAUUUUCUAGCUUGUUAGCGGUUACCCGAAACAGCGCAAAAGGGGCUUGCCGACUUGUGUAUUGUGUGGCCUCUGUCCCUAUGUGUGUAUGGUUGGGCGUCAUUGUGCCAUUCAAAAGGGGGCACUACAUCUGCUCGCCGAUUAGAAACCUUGUGGCCCUAACUUGUUAAACAAACCUUUGAGUGGCUUUAUAUUGUUUCCAGUGUUAUGGGCCUAAGUAACCUGUGCAUAUGGAAAUCAUGACUCACAGUGAAAGUGUACACCUCUUCACAAAGUUGAACAAUCUGGUAUACUAGGCGUGCCCACGGUUACGGGUGGCCUGGAAAAUUGACAAAAUAGAUUAUCACUGUUGAACGAUGUUAAUGAUGAUUAAGAAUGUGGUUUGUGUAUUAUUCUUCAUAACUAUAUACAUUGAUCAUGUGGUUAUGGGAUGAGAUAUUACCUUGAAUGCUAAUAAUGCUAAAUAUGAUACAUACAUAAAUGCUAAAUGCAGUCAAAUAAUUGUCAGCUUUUUGAGCCUCAUGAACCCCUGGUUAUACUUGUUGAAUAUGAAAUAUCCUCACCCUUGCUAUUUCACAACACCUCAGGAUGUGCUAUAGAUGAUGAUUGGAAUGAGGAUUAUCGUAAUGAGUACUAAGCUUGGAGUCAACCAGCCAACGUUUGUCCCUAUGUGGUGCUUUCCAUCGAGAGUUAUAUUAGUUUGCUACAAUUAUUGUUUAAUACUGUAUUCAAUAUUCAUUCGUUAUGUAAUAAGCAUUGUGAUGAUACUUUCUGAGGUUUGUUAACAUUAAGAUAUGCCACUGCAUGUAUAGUUAUGUCAAAAUUAGGAUGUGCUGCUUGUAUCCAUAUAUAUCUCUACUGUGGAUACAAAUUAUACAUUAAGCUGUACCACAUCAUCUAUAGAUAUAUCUCUAUUGUAGAUAGAUAUAGCAACCUUUAGAUGUGUCACUCCAUGUAUAUAAACCAGACAUAACAAGGCAUAUGCAUACUUGCGCACAAGUUCAACAAAUAUACCACCAAUAUUGAUCUUCCCCACUUUCCACUCAUACUCAUCAAGACAAUGCAGACUGAGUGCACUGCUCUUUGCAUUGUAUUGGUUAUUAUGUCUUCAACCCUCCCAUCCUGCUAUCUUCGUAAGUAUAUAACUUAUUUCGUACUCAAACUAAUUCCACUCAUGUGUGGUUUCUAAAGUCAAAUUGUGGAUGCAUGCAGUUCCGGUCACAUUUAAUUUCAAUUUACCUGGAUGCACUGAAGGGCUUUGCCAUGCAACAUGCCAAUAAGUAUAAUAACCAAGUGGUAAAGAUCUCCCAUUGUGAUAAGCCCAAUAUUUGCCACUGUGAGUUUUCUUCCAAGAAGCAUCCGUGGCUUACCACCGAAGCCAGGGGAUUAGCUGAUGCAGAAGACCAUAAUGGACCUUUUGUUUGAAUUUAAUAUACAAGAUUAACGAUGGAUAGGAUGGUUACAUGGAGGCAGACAAUACCAUAUUGCUAGCUCUAGCAUGUAAUUUAUCCAUGACCUGUUUCCUUUCAAGGUGUAAUAAAAUAAUUGUGCACCUUUCCUAUGCUUUUGUUCCACCCAAUGUAUUUGAUCCACCAUACAGAUUUCAUGCCAUGAUAUGAUGACGAUUUGAUCCCCAAUAGCAAUGGGACCAGGGCGAAAACUUUGGGCGUGGGCUUAGCCUCCCAUGCCUGACACCCUGGUUUUAGGAUGUCAGUCAUGAACAACAGCGUGUGGGGAGAAACACUUUGGGGACAACAAAGGUCAAACAAAGUUGAAUUUUUAUGUGUCGACGGGUAGCCACUGUUGAGCUUGGUGAUCCACACAAAGUGAACUAGGCUUUUUUUUUCUUGUACCAAAUCCCCUCAAUCUCCCUGGACUAUUUUUCUUGUACCAAACCCUAAACCCAAAACCAAACAUCUUACACCCUGAACUCUUAAUACUUCUCGAAUUACAUCCCUUUUUUGGAGUGGUUUUGAAUAUGGGUUUAUCUUUUUUUACUAAAAAAUAAUUCUGUAAAUAAUUGAUAUAUUAAAAACCAUAGAAGAUGACUCUAAAAUUUUACAACUGUUUUAAAAAAAUCUAUAAAUUGAUUGGGACAAUUACUGAGUCAAAUAUUUAGAGGUAAUGAAAACAUCUUUAUAAACUUCAAACUAAUAGGUUUAGCUCUACGGAAUGGGAAACAAUCUGGAAAAUUCCUCUAUAAACAAGUUUUAAAAAGUUUACACCACAAAAAUAUGAGACGCAACCAACAUAAAUGCAAAAUAAAUUAAUGUUGAAUGAUUUCAUGCUCUGCAUUCAUAACACCUUAUAUUUUUGAAUGACCAGGACAAAUUAACAUGUUGUUCAAUGAUUUUUUACAUUUUCUAGAUAUUUUUCCCUUUUUCUAGAGCUAAAUAUAUUUUUUAUGUUUCUAAGUUAUUUGUUAGCUCUAAACACCUUAUUUGGAUUGUGGUAUCCCAACGUAUGUUUAGAAUUUUUGGGAACUUUUAAAAUCUUUGAAACAUUUUUUGUUUCUUGAAAACCAUAUCAAGUAUUUAACGAUUUUUAACAAGAAAUUUGAUAAAAUUGCAUUCAAAACCACUCCAAACUAGGGCAGUAGGUAAUUGGAAUGGUUUUGAGAGUUAGUAGGGAAAGAUUUCUAGUUUUUGAAUAUGAGAAAGAAAAUCAUACUAUGACUUUUUCAUUGUUAGAAGUAUUUCGGCAGCCAAGUCAGCGCAUGCUAGAUCUGAAGUUUGCUCAUAGGUCUCAAAUGACAACCCAUCUGAACUUAACAUGGGUGGGCGAAAGCACUUUCAGGUGGACUCCAUUUUGCCCGUUCAUGAAAUUGCUUCAUGUCAAGAGUUCUUUUGUAGGAUGCAUCGUAGGAGGGUGACGUGAGCCAAAGUGAGCAAUGUGACCUGCGAUUAGCCUCUGCCACCAUACCAACCCAAAAAGAUGAGCGAAGGGUCUGCUAAGAAGACCUCAAGACCUCCGCUUGUGUCCAGCAGUGGAAGGGGCCAACACAUCAAAAGACUGGAAAGCACCUGGUUGUGCCCUAUGCAGUUGAUGAUACUAGAAGAAAUUGAAAAUAUAAAUGUGUACAAUUGGGAUGGGAAAGUCAACUAAUCAUCGCGGCAGGAUCUUCGUGUUGGUUGUCAUCAAUGGGCUAUGGUGACAAUCACUGUCUGAGAAGCCAGGCUUUUGCAAGGGAACAGAGGAAGAGGCACCAACCAGAAGUGAUGGUUGGGAGAAACACCUAGAUGUACCAAGUCCAUAGGGUGGGCACAACGGUUGGGGCAGAGUAUGAAGCACUUGGUGGUGAUGUCAGUGGAACUACCAUUGAGAUGGGAGGUAAGGGCGCAUGAAUCAUUGAACUGUAUCCUGUAUUUAUAUGAGUUAUACAGAUGACUAAAAUUGCUCCAGAUGGAGUGUGGCAGUCACCAUACGAAGUGUUGAUUUUAUGAGAAAAAACAUCAUAUGAAAUGGUGAUUCUCAUUGAUGAGUACCACUACACGACUCAUGCUCAACUAGAGAAACAAACAAUUUCUUUUGUUAAGCCACAUAAUUUAAAACUAUACAUAUAUAAUUUCAUAAGAAUUAAAAUCAAUACAUGAAUUUGAAGACUGAACAAAUCAAAUUGGAAUCCUCAAUGUUAGAGCAAGGAUCCCUCUCAUAAGUCAUUGAUGGACGCUCAUGGUCAUCCUCCUCCACCUUCUUGUCAUUUGCCUCCUCAUCCUUGUCCUUGUCAUUCCCUUCCUCCUCCUCCUCCGUCGUGUAACUAAACUAGAGCUUGUCUUUUGUCGUCCAUGGGGAAAUAGGCGGGGUGUUAUCAUUUGAGCCGUCAUUGCCAUCACUCUGCCAGCACUAAGAUUGUUCCUUGCUUGAGGAGUCAUUGUCUCAAGCUCGAAGCCAAUAAUGGUUACAGGGGAAGGAAUGGGGUGAGGAAAAAGUGGAGAUCUCCAGAUGGCAGAUGGUGUUAGAAAUUUAGACAUUUUUUAAUGUUUGAUUUAAUCUAGAAAAUUACACAAAAUAAAGUGGUGGCAUAUAUGUGCACGUGUGCAAAUUUAUCGCUACUCAGAUUAAAGAUAAACAUUGCAAAUACUGUAGACAUACUAAAAAUAAAAUAUAAUCAUUUAAGAUUAUACCCAGAGGAGGACCAGUGGCGAAGGCACCGGCGGCUCCAUUCGCACUAGUCGACAUAGUGCGUUGCUUGAAGUAGCGGACCACAGUCGAUGGAGGAAGACGUUCGCAGUGCAGUCCCGCGAACGUCCACCAGGAAGAAGACGAUGUAGCUGAUCUCUCGUCACCACCUGGAAGCCGAUCUGAGGUAGGAGGAAGUAGCCGAUCUCACCGAUCUGAUGUAGCAAGAAGAAGCAGAUCUGAGAUAGCGAGCAGUCACGGAAGAUGCUCCGCAAAAACCUGAUUACCCGCACACAGAGCAGGUGUCUCGAUGCAAGGCGUCGGGUUCCGGAGGCCUGCUCUCCCGAUCUCUAUGCGCAUAGAGGUUUGGGACAAGGAUGAACCAGAGCACAACUCGACAGGAAGAUGAGAGGAGGACUGAUGUGUUGUGUCUCGCAGAUGGAAAGAUGAUGCGACAAAGGAAUAUAUAGGCUAGAGAGGAAACGUCUGGUUUAAUAGCAAUUAAUGACAAUCAAUUGCCUUUAACCAGACAAUGGUCAGAUCCCGAUUCUCCUCCCUUUCCUUUUCCACCAGGAAAAACGUACUCACACUCGCGCAUCACGACUCGACUCGACACGACACAACACGACACCGCUCGGCUCGGCUCUGUGGCGGCGGCGGCGCGCGCGCGUGUGGCACCCUAUUUCCCUUCGUCAACUUCUCUAUAGGAGCUAUCACAGGCCGCCUAUUUAAGUUGAGUUAACACAUGGUCAACAAUCAAUCCGGUAUUAAACCGUUUUUAUUAUAACAUUUAUUAUGGGCCCUUUAAUUAAUCAUGUAAUAGAAUAUGGGCUAAAAGCCCAAAUAAUAUUCAACAAUCCCCACCUAUUUCUAUGGCACAUAAGAAAUGCUCUCAAAUUUCCAUGUUAUUUCAUAUACCAGUUGUUUCGGUGGAGACCGUUAAGUUGAACUUCCUAGGUUGAACUUCCACCCAGAAUAAAGAUUACACUUAGUCACAACUUGAACAAUGGACUAUGCCUUGAAUUGCAAGUUUUGUGUGAAAUAAGUUUCAUCUAAACUCAUAAUUGAUACCGGGUUGCAUGAACAUCCCCUCUAGUUGAAGCAUAUAAGUCAUACUUCUGGCCCAUUCAUGAGUAUCUAGAGACCACCCAGAUCUCAUAAACUGUGACUAGCAGUCAAACUCAUAUUGGUGUAUUCCUUAAAGAUGUUCUGUAGGACAACAUCUAUCACUUCAUAAGCCACUUUGGAAUACAUUAAGGUAUAUAACCAGCCUUCCUUACAGACUUAGGAAAGAAGUACAAUUGAGAUGAGUUAAAUAAAGGGUCUUUCCUCACAAUCUACUUCUGGUUUGUUUCACUAUUCUACUUCACGGGAUCUCUGAUCAUAUAGAACAGGUUGCUACCAUGGUAGACGUUACGUGGGUCUCAAACCCAUCUCACUCGAUGCACUAUCGAUCACAUUACAUGAUAGUCCCUUUGUGAAUUGAUCUGCCAGAUUCUUAGACGUAUGGACAUAGUCCAAUGCUAUAACUCCAGAGUUUCUCAAUUUUCUGACAGUCUUCAAUCACCAUUUGACAUGCAAUGUGGACUUCAUGUUGUCCUUAGAACUGUUGACUUUUAUGAUCACAGUUUGAUUGUCACAGUUCAUGGAAAUAGCCGACACAGGUUUCUCAACCACCGGUAGAUCCAUUAGGACUUCACGAAGCUACUCAGCCUCAGCGCCAGUGGUGUCUGUUGACGGUUCUUAAGUAUCAAUUUUAAUUAUCAAAUAAACAAGAGAAAGGACCAAUAUGCAACCAACACCUAGAAUUAGGGUUUGAUCUGACAGAAUUCCACGAGUUUUGUUGUUUAUCUGUUUCUGCAGGGGGUUAUCAUGAAAUAAGAAAGAAAGGCCCACAUGUCGGGAUUACAUAGAGAUAUCAACGCACCGCACGAUUUUACAUCAUCUAGAAGACUCCAGAAGCCACGAGACCGAAGCGGAGGCGAAACUGGGCCAGGCCCAGGGCGCCCGCCCUGGUAGCCUGGGCGCCCGCCCCCCU
rnacentral:lncRNA from 1 species